rnacentral:rRNA from 1 species
AACACAUGCAAGUCGAACGGUGAAGGGGAGCUUGCUCCCUGGAUCAAGUGGCGAACGGGUGAGUAACACGUGAGCAAUCUGCCCCUGACUCUGGGAUAAGCGCUGGAAACGGCGUCUAAUACUGGAUACGAGCUGCGAUCGCAUGGUCAGCAGUUGGAAAGAACUUCGGUCAGGGAUGAGCUCGCGGCCUAUCAGCUUGUUGGUGAGGUAAUGGCUCACCAAGGCGUCGACGGGUAGCCGGCCUGAGAGGGUGACCGGCCACACUGGGACUGAGACACGGCCCAAACUCCUACGGGAGGCAGCAGUGGGGAAUAUUGCACAAUGGGCGCAAGCCUGAUGCAGCAACGCCGCGUGAGGGACGACGGCCUUCGGGUUGUAAACCUCUUUUAGCANGGAAGAAGCGAAAAGUGACGGUACCUGC